UCAUGCAUCUGUGCACAGCUGUGCAGG
rnacentral:piRNA from 1 species